rnacentral:lncRNA from 1 species
UUCGUUUUGCCUUGACGGCGCCGUUACCUACUUCUGGUGGUCGACGCCGCUUUGCCGUCAGAUCCACAAAUGAAGACGCAAAAUCAAAUGCAAAACCAGAUGAUGAGGAUGAUGUGAGCUUCUUGUUGAAACUGGGAGUUGGGUAGUACGGCAGCAUCCUUGUGCCGAAGAUAACACGCCCCAACAUCAUACAAGUCCUCAUUAUGAUAUCUACUCCUGUUAUUCUAGCUGUUUUACUUUUGAUCAAACAAAGUCAUGUUCAA